AGGACGAACGCUGGCGGCGUGCCUAAAACAUGCAAGUCGAACGGAGGCUUCGGCCUCAGUGGCGAACGGCGGAGUAAUACAUGAACAACGUGCCCUAAAGACCGGGAUAGUCGCGGGAAACUGCGGGUAAUACCGGAUGUGGCCGACCCUUGGCAUCUUGGGUCGAUUAAAAGGUUUUUCGCUUUAGGAGCGGUUCAUGGCCUAUCAGGUAGUUGAUGGGGUAACAGCCUACCAAGCCGACGACGGUAGCGGGUCUGAGAGGAUGAUCCGCUCGAGUGGGACUGAGGACACGGCCCACACACCUACGGGUGGCAGCAGUUGGGAAUCUUGCACAAGUGGGGAAACCCUGAUGCAGCGACGCCGCGUGGAGGAUGAAGGAUCGUAGGUCUAGUAAACCUU
rnacentral:rRNA from 1 species